GAAAAGCUUGGCUUUUCGACCAAGUGAGUMGGCGGACGGGWGAGUAACACGUGGGUAACCUGCCCAUAAGWGGGGGAUAACAUYCGGAAACGGAUGCUAAUACCGCAUAUUUCAARUGACCGCAUGGUCGCUUGAUGAAAGGUGGCUUCGAGCUACCRCUUAUGGAUGGACCCGCGGUGCAUUAGUUAGUUGGUGAGGUAAUGGCUCACCAAGACMAUGAUGCAUAGCCGACCUGAGAGGGUGAUCGGCCACACUGGGACUGAGACACGGCCCAGACUCCUACGGGAGGCAGCAGUAGGGAAUCUUCCGCAAUGGACGAAAGUCUGACGGAGCAAUGCCGCGUGAGUGAAGAAGGUUUUCGGAUCGUAAAACUCUGUUGUUAGAGAAGAACAAGGAUGAGAGUAACUGCUCAUCCCCUGACGGUAUCUAACCAGAAAGCCACGGCUAACUACGUGCCAGCCGCCGCGGUAAUUACA
rnacentral:rRNA from 1 species